rnacentral:rRNA from 1 species
GUAGGUGGCAGGCGUUGUCCGGAAUUAUUGGGGCGUAAAGCGCGCGCAGGCGGUUCUUUAAGUCUGAUGUGAAAGCCCACGGGCUCAACCGUGGAGGGUCAUUGGAAACUGGAGAACUUGAGUACAGAAGAGGAAAGCGGAAUUCCACGUGUAGCGGUGAAAUGCGUAGAGAUGUGGAGGAACACCAGUGGCGAAGGCGGCUUUCUGGUCUGUAACUGACGCUGAGGCGCGAAAGCGUGGGGAGCAAACAGGAUUAGAUACCCUGGUAGUCCACGCCGUAAACGAUGAGUGCUAAGUGUUAGGGGGUUUCCGCCCCUUAGUGCUGCAGCUAACGCAUUAAGCACUCCGCCUGGGGAGUACGGCCGCAAAGGCUG